rnacentral:rRNA from 1 species
GAUGAACGCUAGCGGCAGGCUUAACACAUGCAAGUCGAGGGGUAUUGGUUUUCGGACCAAGAGACCGGCGCACGGGUGCGUAACGCGUAUGCAAUCUACCUUUUGCAGAGGGAUAGCCCCAGAGAAAUUUGGAUUAAUACCUCAUAGUAUAGUACUUUGGCAUCAAGGAACUAUUAAAGUCACAACGGCAAAAGAUGAGCAUGCGUCCCAUUAGCUAGUUGGUAAGGUAACGGCUUACCAAGGCUACGAUGGGUAGGGGUCCUGAGAGGGAGAUCCCCCACACUGGUACUGAGACACGGACCAGACUCCUACGGGAGGCAGCAGUGAGGAAUAUUGGACAAUGGGCGCAAGCCUGAUCCAGCCAUGCCGCGUGCAGGAUGACGGUCCUAUGGAUUGUAAACUGCUUUANACAGGAAGAAACACUCCGACGUGUCGGAGCUUGACGGUACUGUAAGAAUAAGGAUCGGCUAACUCCGUGCCAGC